rnacentral:rRNA from 1 species
AGCUCCAAUAGCGUAUAUUAUUGAUGUUGCAGUUGAAACGUUCGUAGUCGAACUUUAUCUGUUAAGAGCUCCUUGCAUGCCCAAGGCGUCAGGGAUGCUUCCUACAGAGAGUGCGCUCUCGCUCUCGUUUCGAGGUGUGAGCGCUUUACUUUGAGUUAAUCGGCGUGUUCCACGCAGGCGUGAUGCCUUGAACGAUUUACCAUAGUAUAUAAAGAAUAUGAAAAUUCCUCCUUGACUUUUCGGAGGUUCUUUCGAUACAUAAAAGAACGGUCGAGGGCAUUCGUAUUCAACUGCCAGAGGUGAAAUUCUUUGAUUAGUUGAGGACGAACUAUUGCGAAAGCAUCUGCCAAGGACGUCUCUU